UGGGAAUUUCGGAUUUUACACAGGUGGUUGGAUGUUACACUCUGGAAAUUGAAGGAAGACUUUCUUGAGGAUGUCGAUCUCCUUCACCGUCGCCUCUCUGAUCUCUUCGAUCUCCUGUGCCGUCAUCUUGUCGGAGGGGGUGAUGUCGAUGAUCUUCACCGCGUACUCCUGAGAGGUCCGCUUGUCGACGCAGCGGCGCACCACGCUGCUCACUCCCCUGAGGAUGAAAAAAACACAUCAGCCGUCCGAGCUGCACAUCUGUUGUUUUUAGGUUUGGGUAGGAGGGCAACUUGUGAUAACUGCUGGAUAAAGUGUUCUGUGAGAGUCACAGUGUCUUUCAUCAUGAAUCAUGUGUUUAACUGUUUCAAAACAGCACUGUUUUUGGUAAGAAAUCAGUGACAUGGUCAGACUAAAGGAAAGUAUUGUGUGUUUUUACCAUCUUACCAGUCUGACAGAGCAAGUAAAAACAGUGAAGAAUGUGCUUGUCAUGAAGAUUGUCUUGUUUAUCAUUAACGUCCAGGAAAACAGACAAAAACAUCAAGUAAGCAAACUGAAAACCUUACAGCUGAAAUUAAAUUCGGAGGGCGAUUUAUGAAUGAACAAGAGAAACUUCAGGGUGACCACAGUAAAGGAACUCCAGUGACUUUUCUCUGAAUGAAGAAUACUAGAAUAAGGGCACAUUGUCCACAUCCUGUGACCUCCUGACCUGCAUGUGGGAAAAGGGGGUGAAAUUACAUAAUCUAUCAGCCUGACGGCCAACACUUUGUCUGAAGCGUGCUGAUGUUAAUAAAUGUGGCCUCCUUGGAUAAUGUGUCUUACGUAACAGCACCACCCUCUGACAGCUGGUGGACUGAAUGACAAUGAGCAGGCCCUGGCUCGGCUCCCAUUUCUCAGGGGCUUGUGGGAAACUUUGGGGAAAGUGCUUGUUCUGUGCAGAGAAUGAUAACUGUUUGAACUGAGGUCUAAAUCUGAGGUGUGUUGUAACAUUAAAUGAGUCUCUACAAACUAAUAGCAAGUAAAUAUUUCACCAUU